rnacentral:rRNA from 1 species
UUGGGAAUAUUGGACAAUGGAGGAAACUCUGAUCCAGUGACGCCGCGUGAAGGAAGAAGGUCUUCGGAUUGUAAACUUAUUUUGUCAGGGAAGAAACAAAUGACUGUACCUGAAGAAAAAGCACCGGCUAACUACGUGCCAGCAGCCGCGGUAAUACGUAGGGUGCAAGCGUUAUCCGGAUUUACUGGGUGUAAAGGGCGAGUAGACGGCGAUGCAAGUCAGAUGUGAAAUGCUAGAGCUUAACUUUAGAACUGCAUCUGAAACUGUAUUGCUAGAGUGCAGGAGAGGUAAGCGGAAUUCCUAGUGUAGCGGUGAAAUGCGUAGAUAUUAGGAGGAACAUCAGUGGCGAAGGCGGCUUACUGGACUGUAACUGACGUUGAGGCGCGAAAGCGUGGGGAGCAAACA